rnacentral:rRNA from 1 species
UAGGGUGAGUAAUGCAUUGAUAACCUACCUUUGAGAUGGGAACAACAACGUUCCAAGUAAUUGGGGCUACCGAAAGGGUUGCUAAUUCUCAAUAAAAAUGCUGACACUUUGGUGUCGGCAGUCAAAGAAAUGGAUCUGAAAAGGUCCAUUUGCUCAGAGAGGGGUCAAUGUCCUAUCAGCUAGUUGGUAGGGUAAUGGCCUACCAAGGCGAAGACGGGUAGCCGGCCUGAGAGGGUGGUCGGCCACACUGGGACUGAGACACUGCCCAGACUCCUACGGGAGGCUGCAGUCGAGAAUCUUUCGCAAUGCCCGAAAGGGUGACGAAGCGACGCCGCGUGUGGGAUGAAGGCCUUCGGGUUGUAAACCACUGUCGGGAGUUAAGAAUUGUAGGAAUGCUAAUAGUAUUUCUACUUGACUAAGGCUCCGGAGGAAGCCACGGCUAACUCUGUGCCAGCAGCCGCGGUAAUACAGAGGCGGCAAGCGUUGUUCGGAAUUAUUGGGCGUAAAGAGCAUGUAGGCGGCUAUGUAAGUCGGUUGUGAAAGCCUUCCGCUUAACGGAAGAAUGGCGGUCGAAACUGCAUGGCUUGAGUGCGGGAGGGGAGAGUGGAACUUCUGGUGGAGCGGUGAAAUGCGUAGAUAUCAGAAGGAACGUCGGCGGCGAAAGCGACUCUCUAGACCGUAACUGACGCUGAGUGUGCGA